GGAAAUGUGCCUGAAUUAAAGGAUCACUUUGAUAGAGUGAAACAUGAAUGUUAAAAUCAUUCCACUUCCU
rnacentral:tRNA from 1 species